GAUGAACGCUGGCGGCGUGCUUAACACAUGCAAGUCGAACGAUGAAAGCGGGGGCUUGCUCCUGCUGGAUUAGUGGCGAACGGGUGAGUAACACGUGAGCAAUCUGCCCCGAACUCUGGGAUAAGCGUUGGAAACGACGUCUAAUACCGGAUACGACGCGCGAAGGCAUCUUCUGCGCGUGGAAAGAAUUUCGGUUCGGGAUGAGCUCGCGGCCUAUCAGCUAGUUGGUGAGGUAACGGCUCACCAAGGCGACGACGGGUAGCCGGCCUGGGAGGGGGAGCGGCCACACUGGGACUGAGACACGGCCCAGACUCCUACGGGAGGAAGCAGUGGGGAAUAUUGCACAAUGGGCGAAAGCCUGAUGCAGCAACGCCGCGUGAGGGACGACGGCCUUCGGGUUGUAAACCUCUUUUAGUAGGGAAGAAGCGAAAGUGACGGUACCUGCAGAAAAAGCACCGGCUAACUACGUGCCAGCCGCCGCGGUAAUAC
rnacentral:rRNA from 1 species